GACAAAGAGAUUGGGCCAUGGCUGAAGGAAGAUACAAGAUCUUGAGACGACUAAGGCCAGAUGACUUACAUGUGCUUUUCACAAGAUACACACACGAUUUUGCAUUUCAUCUACAUGAUGCUGCCAUAUGUGUCAUCCUUCCAGUCAGUGACGCUCAAUCCAUUGUCUGUUUGGACUUGGGAUCAUGCUGGUGCUGGAAGUAUAGCAGAGAAUACGGUGAUGCAUGGGCUGGCUUCCACAGAGAUGUCAGGCAAUGUAGCAGGAUAACAAAUACGUCAUAACAACUUACUCACAGUGACAAACAAGGGAGUGAUCGGAAAUCCACUUCAUGAAAAAAGUCUACUUCUCUCAUCUGCUAUACACAGCCCCAAGUGCCAGACUCCUUCUGCAAGGAUGACAAAUAAGGGUGGUUUCAGAGCAGGCUGAUCACCCACUCCAUCCAGGAAGAUGAUGGCUGGACUCUCCCUCAGAGUUCUUCUUAAUACAGUUCCACUUUUAGGAUGACCCCCUCCAGUGGAAAACUAUCCAGCUUACUUGCUUUAUCGGAAACUGCACUUUCAGAGAGCAUCAGACCCAAAGGCACAGGCACAACACAUAGGGAAGACAAACAACCAGCUCCUUGCUGGAGAAAUGCUGAGAUCUGCAGUGCUUAGUGGGAAAGGAUGCUGCCCUCUGUUUACAAGGCGCACAUGUGCACACAGAAAGAACACACCCAUGUAUACAUGUCAUGUCCGGCUAGAAAUCGACGAGGCAGUCUAAGGGAGAAGCAGGGACCAGAAAAAUUCUGUAUAAGGCCCAGACGAUGCUCCGUUCCUAGAAUUAACUUAGGAACCCCAUAAGACAGAUUUCUAGAAAGUACCAGAAGUUAGCAACCCAGUACAGACUGAAGUACUCCAGUGCAACAACCGGCACUCCACAGUCACAGACUAAGCUAAUUCUAUUUUGCUAAUUGCUUUCUUGGGCAUGCACCAAGUUAUUAAGCAGACAUUGACAAAAACAGAGCUAGAAUAAAUGUAUGUGGCAGCAUCCACUGAUUGUCCCCGGCACUAGUUCCACUGACUUGUUUGCAUGUUAAAUGGAACAAGGGGAAUUGACAAAAUAUUUCUGAAUGAUUUUUUUUCAGAACCGCUGCCAGCUUAGAGAUCACCUUUGCAACAGUAUCCUGCUCUUCAGAGAAUACUUCCCUUUCCUUGGAGGAGACAGGCUGAUUUUCGGAACAGAUCUAUAUGUCAGAGGCAAGCUUUCCCCAGGAACGACAGUCAUCUAGUAAGCUGCAGAAGCAAGCAGCGUCAGCAGAACCUGUGGGAAGUCAGACACCAGCCCACUUUGUCCCACCCACCCAGACACACUCUCCCCCUCUGAUCUGUACCUUC